CUACGGCUAAGGGAUCCCUUCCGGAUGAUGGAGAAUGUGCUUUAUGCUGGACCAAUUACACAUCACGAUCAGCAUCGAUUAAGCGGCUGCAGUAGCUGGUACCAGCUGGUACCGGCCGGUGCUGAGGGCCCGAUCCGCCGCCGGGAGGACGACUUCCUGAGGCAAACACGACGGACAUCCCGAACGGUGCUUACAUCCGUGUUAUGGAAAAUUGCUCUUACGUGUCUGGACCGGACGGAUGGACAUGAGGCAACUUUCUUAUCGCAUAUACAGGGCAUGCAACGGUAUGUGUUAACCAUGGAAGGCAACAUUUUUCUUUCUAGUUGGUCACCAGGUCAU
rnacentral:lncRNA from 1 species